rnacentral:lncRNA from 1 species
UGCCACGUUGGUCAGGCUGAUCUUGAACUCCUGACCUCAGGUGAUUCGCCCACCUCAGCCUUAGAAUGCUUUUCUAACGCAGGCACUGCAGGGCUCCAUCUUUGCAGAUGCUCCCUCUCCAAUCAUGUGGUGCCUGUGUAUUUAGGGCAUGCAGUGAGAUCACUUCACCAGCGUUACUCCUCUCCUCCUCUGCUCCUGCUGCCGUACCACCCACCCUACGUGUAUAAUGAACUUCUCUCCAGGAUGGAAGGCGGUGUGUGUCCUGCUUGUCUUGGAACCUGCUCCUGACCUGAGAAGACUGCAGUGAGGUGGGCCCAGCUCUCAGAGUGGACCCUGCCCGUGGAGGCGGGAAGCUGAGCCCGGCUCCCAGGAAGCACAGUGAGGGCUCAGCCAUUGAUGAUGAUGAUGAUGAUGAUGAUGAUGAUGAUGAUGAUGGUGAUGAUGAUGAUGCUGCUGCUGUUGACGAUGAGUCCAAGCCAAGCCUGGGGAGAAAAGAAUAAAUAGUCUCAUAAAUUUAAAAAA